UAAAAAAAAAAAAAAAAAUUCCGUUGCGUCUUGCGGAUUAUCAGGUAGUUACAUAAUUAACAGGAAUCACUAAUAUUUUCCCAGAUGUCUUGGCUAAAAGCAAAAUUCCUUUCUUCACGUUCACGAACUUGCAUGAAGCAUUCAUCUUCACGCCUUGUGACAGCAGGAAAAUUUUGUUUUAUUUUUACUUGCUUUAUGCAAUUUUUCCAGCAGGAUAUAGGAGUAGACUUGUAACAAAUACACUCUUCUUCAUAAAUUUGUUUCUGAUAUGAGAACUGUAAGAAAAAUAAUAUCGUUAAACUAAGCUACAAAUUUCUAGAACUUCAUUUUCCCAUUUUGUUUUCUUGAUUUAAACUUCAUAUGCAUUUAUUUUAACAAAAAAGAAAAUUAAAUAAUUUGUAAUGGUGAUAACUAUCUUAACUGAAAAGCUACA
rnacentral:misc_RNA from 1 species